GGCCUGGUAGCUCAGCUGGUAGAGCACUCGCUGUACUAAAGCGUGAAUGGUGACCAUGUGUGGGUUCGAAUCCCGCCGGAGCCA
rnacentral:tRNA from 1 species